AAUGACACGGUAGCGCUAAUAGCAAGCUCCCCGAACGCACCUAACGUGACGUGUAAUAAUGCGGUUUUUAUUCUUCUCCUUCAUGGUUUUGUGACACGUAUAAAGUAAUAUAGAAACGGUUGUUAUAAUUUCAGUAUUAUUACGUCCCAUCAACGUAAUAGUUUUGUAUAAGAACACCAUCACACAGUUGUUUCGACAGCAGAGAGAAAGAGAAGAUUCCAUUUAUUACGUUCUCUGGGGAAACUCUACUCAACCAGAGAAAAUAUUUGUAUAAGGUGUUUAUUUUUCAUACACAGCAUUUCCUAAAACGCAACAUUAUUAUGCCGAAGGAUUUAGAAUCGUUGUCAAAAAGACGAAAAAAUCAGUUGAUUAAUGUAGAGUUAAAUCGUUAUAGAAAUUCUAAUUUAAAUCCUACAAUACAUUCAACUCAUUUAAAUAUUGCAUUUAAUAUGUUAGAAAACGAGGAAAUUACUUCGACAAGUUCUAAUAAUAUAUCCUAUGAAAGUUAUAUAUUACCUGUAAACGUUAAUGAGAUAAUUGAAUCAAAUAUAGAAUCACAAUUUGAGACAUAAAACAACGAACAAUAUAACGUUGAAGUAGAAGAUAAUGUCUCUGAAAUAACAGAUAUUUUUGACUACACAAAUAAUAAAAAUUUAUGAAAAGAUUUGCAAACAUUUAUUAUUGAUCAUAACAUUGCACAUAAUGCUGCUAAUAAAUUACUUAAAAUCCUAAUAAAACAUGGGCACGUAGAAUUACCUAAAGAUAUUCGCAUUUUACUUCAAACACCACGAAAUGCAUCCAUUAACAUUAAAGCUAUAGCUGGUGGUUCUUAUAUACACUUCGGUGUUUUCUCUGGUCUACAAAGAUCAAUAUAAAUAUACCAUAAACAUAUAAAAGGAAAUGAAAUUAAAUAUAAUAAUAAAUAUUGAUGGCUUACCACUUUCCAAAAGUUCUAGGAUCCCAUUCCGGCCAAUAAUGGCAUCUAUUGAAAACAUUGACAUUUAUACAUCUCCUUUUAUAAUUGGUAUAUAUCACGGUAUGAGCAAACCAAAUGAUGCACACACACACACACACACACACACACACACACACACACACACACAAAUGAAUUUCUAAAUGAAUUUGUUAAUGAAUUUAUUCUUCUCUCUGUAAGAGGCGUAAUUGUUUUCAAUAAAAGAUAUUCUGUUGUUCUUAACGCCAUAUUAUGUGAUGCUCCAGCAAAAUCCUUUAUUACGUACACACAAGGUCAUACGAGAUAUUUUUCAUGUUCGAAAUGCACACAAGAAAGUGAUUUUGUAUGCAAUAGAAUCAUUUUUGCAGAAACUCAAAGUACAUUACGUACAGACGACACAUUCAAAAAUAAAAACCAAAUUGAACAUCACACAGGUAAUUCAAUAUUAGAAAACCUUUCUAUCGGAAUGAUAUCUCAAAUCCCGCUGAAUUACAUGCAUCUCGUGUGUUUAGGCGUUAUGAAACGUUUACUUCAAUUAUGGGUGAGAGGAAAUAAAAAUAUCAGAUUAUCAAGUGAGAACAUAAAUUUAGUGUCACGUCAUUUAAUUGUAAUUCAGCGUUACAUUCCAGUAGAAUUUGCAAGAAAAUGUAGAAGCUUGGACGAUGUUGAUAGGUGGAAGGCUACUGAAUUCCGUCAAUUUUUGUUCUACACUGGAUGUAUAGUUAUGAAAACAGUAUUAUCACCAAUUUGCUAUAACCAUUUCAUUUCUCUUAGUGUUGCUAUAAGGAUAGCUUCCCACUGACCCACAGCUAUGUGUAACAUUCAACGAUUAUGCAAAUUCGUUGUUAUUGUGGUUCGUUUCAAAUUUUGGAGAUAUUUAUGGUGACGAACAUAUGUCCCAUAACGUUCAUAAUCUUCUUCAUCUCGCCAAUGAUGUGAAAGCUUUUGGAUGUUUAGACAACUUUUCGUGUUUUAAAUAUGAAAAUCAUAUGCAGAAAAUUAAAAAGAAAUUGCAUCAAUCGGGGGUACCUUUACAAGAGUUUUCUAACUGUGUGUUUGAAGACCUACAACUUCCAAUUCAACCAUUAGGAAAAAAACAAUAUCCCACUGUUUAUAAAAAACAAUAUCCCACUUGUUUAUAAAAAAGAUAACGAAAUUUCAUACAUACAAUACAAAAGUUUUAAAAUUGCUGUGAACGAAAUCGACAACUGUGCUAUAUUGGAUGAUAAAUGUGUAAUAUUUAUUCUCCAUAUAUUUGAAGAAAACUACAUAUUAUAUAUUCGUAUACGACGAUUUUUAAAUCCAAAAUAUUUAUUUAAAAUACCAUGUUCCUCCGACAAACUUGGAAUAUAUGUAAUAUCAAAUUGUACUACUUCAGACGUUAUAACAGUUACAACAGUACAAAUAAAAAGAAAAUGUUUAAAAAUUAAAUGUCUUCAUGAAAUAGGUUCAUAUAUCACAAUACCACUUCAAUAUAUGAAUAAUUAAAUGCAAUGAAUUGUAUUGAAUGUAUAUAUUUUUUUGUAUUUGUGCAUUCUAAAAACUGAUAUAAAAUAAUAUACAAAAUUAAAUUAAAUACUAUACAAAACUUUAUUUGCAAGUUAAACAUAGUAUAUUAUUUUUUUAUUUAAAUUUUGAAUAUUGAAGUAUCUAAAUCCUGAUUUGUCAUUGGAAAUUGAUGGACAAAUGAUAUGUAAAUGAUCAUAUUGAGAUGAGUUCCGAAAGAAAGAAGUAUGCAGUUAUUAAAUUUCUUUUGGAUUGUACAUAUUCGGAAAUACCAACGGCCUGGCUUACUGAUGAUAGUACAAGUCAACAGUGUUGGUGGCCACCUCGCACAGCUAAUAGUACUGUACUUAUAGCAAACUGCAUAAGUCCUAAUCGUAAUACUUGGAACCGAUAUGAGGUAGAAGUAAUAAAAUAUUGCAGUAAGUAUAUGAAUUAUUAUCUCGCUUGUAUACAUAUAUAUAUAUAUAUAUAUAUAUGUGUGUGUGUGUGUGUGUGUGUGUGUGUGUGUAUAUAUAUAUAUAUAUAUAUAUAUAUAUAUAUAUAUAUAUAUAUUCUCCAUAUAUAUAUAUGGAGAAUUAAUUAAUUCUGACUGAAUUUAGUUAGUUUAGACAGAGGAUAGCCUUCUGUGGUUGUCCUGACAGUUGGUCGCAUAUUCCUAAUGCAAUACUUGUUGCAAUUACAAGUCUGCUACUCCUAACCUCAAUACUGUAUCGUAUGGUAUGCUGCUGUUUUCUUAAGGCUGUGGAGUGCUGAGUCUGCAUGGCCAGAUUCUAGUCGUGGAUUUCUUCCAGCUUUUAGAUAUAUUAGUUACAAUGAUAUUGAAUAUAUUUUGUUAUAUAUAAUAUAGUGAAUAUUAAGAUUGUUGUUGUUACAAAGAAUGGUUAGCCAGCUGUGUACAAGCAAUAAAAGUUGUGAGAAUUCUUUUAUAUCCUGAUUUUAUCUACCAAAAUA